AUAAAAAGCACUUAUAUCAUGGUUAAAAGCCGUAAAAACCAUGAUAUAUCAACUCCCCCAGACUUAGCCUUUGCUUGCCCUCAAGCAAGACAGAAACUCGACCUGCGUAAGAGGUUUGAAAACGCGGGAACUCACUCAACUGCAUGAAACUCUUAUUUGCACUCUUCAUCAUCUUGACUCCACUUUAUGUACUUUGCUUAUGAGAAGCAUCAACAUUCCUUACUCUAAUCCCACAAUCCUUAGGAAUCUCCAGUCUCUCAAUUGUCAUCUCUUUACAUAGGUUAACACAAGUAAAGGUGAAUUCUUACCGAGGGAAUAUCGAUCAAUGGCAUAUGGACUCUUCUCAAACCAAGAC
rnacentral:lncRNA from 1 species